UUAAUUAAAAUUUUUGUUUGCUUUUAGUUUCCCGCCAAAAGUGUCUAAUGCCCGCUGUACGACUGAUGGUGGAUUUGCUUUUCUAGCUGAAGGGAAAAUCAGACUUCGUCUUAUUUUUUUACUCAAACGGGGCAACAAAGCUUUAAGUUUUUAAACUUUCAGCAGUGACACUUUGUGUGGAGUCAUUUUGAGGUGAAUGUGAGUCUGCUCUCACAGACGGACUGUUUCCAGGUCAGCUCAUCUAAGAGUGAACCCGGGCAUGCUGGUUUGAUUUCUUUACCUACUCUAAUUAAAGAUUAACUGCUGUCUCAAUAAACUGCACAGAGGUCAGUUUUCCCAUU